GGCUCAGAAUUAACGCUGAUGGCAUGCCUAAUACAUGCAAGUCGAACGAACUUUUCCUCACGGGAAAGUUAGUGGCGAACGGGUGAGUAAUACAUAUUUAACAUGCCCCUAAGAGGGAAAUAACCGUCUGAAAAGACGACUAAUGUCCCAUAGGAGGGGGAGCCAGACAGGAACCCUCUUUAAAGGUGAAAACCACUUAGGGAUUGGAAUAUGUUCUAUUAGCUAGUUGGUGGGGUAACUGCCCACCAAGGCGAUGAUAGAUAGCUGGUCUUAGAGGAUGAACAGCCACAAUGGGAUUGAGAUACGGCCCAUAUUCCUACGGGAAGCAGCAGUAGGGAAUCUUCCACAAUGGACGAAAGUCUGAUGGAGCAAUGCCAUGUGAACGAUGAAGGUCAUUUUGAUCGUAAAGUUCUUUUAGGGGGGAAAACUCUGAUGGUACCCCCUGAAUAAGUGACAGCAAACUAUGUGCCAGCAGCUGCGGUAAUACAUAGGUCGCGAGCGUUAUUCGGAUUUAUUGGGCGUAAAGCAAGCGCAGGCGGAUGGCUAAGUUCUAUGUUAAAAGCGGCUGCUUAACAGUCGUUUGCAUAGAAUACUAGCUGUCUAGAAUGUGGUAGGAAGUUUUGGAAUUAAAUAUGGAGCGGUGGAAUGUGUAGAUAUAUUUAAGAACACCAGAGGCGAAGGCGAAAACUUAGGCCAUUAUUGACGCUUAGGCUUGAAAGUGUGGGUAGCAAAUGGGAUUAGAUACCCCAGUAGUCCACACCGUAAACGAUGGGUAUUGGGUGUCGGGGUUUGAGCCUCGGUGCUGUAGCUUACGUGUUAAAUACCCCGCCUGGGUAGUACAUAUGCAAAUAUGAAACUCAAAGGAAUUGACGGGGACCUGAACAAGUGGUGGAACAUGUUGCUUAAUUCGAUAAUACACGAAAAACCUUACCAAGGUUUGACAUCCCUCGCAAAUCUAUAGAAAUAUAGUGGAGGUUAUCGAGGUGACAGGUGGUGCAUGGUUGUCGUCAGCUCGUGUCAUGAGAUGUUUGGUUAAGUCCCGCAACGAGCGCAACCCUACUCUUUAGUUACUUUUCUGAAGAGACUGAACAGUAAUGUAUAGGAAGGUUGGGAUCACGUCAAAUCAUCAUGCCCCUUAUGCCUUGGGCCGCAAACGUGUUACAAUGGCGAGUACAAUGUGUUGCAAUCUAGCGAUAGUGAGCUAAUCACUAAAACUCGUCUCAGUCCGGAUAAAAGGCUGCAAUUCGCCUUUUUGAAGUUGGAAUCACUAGUAAUCCCGUGUCAGCUAUAUCGGGGUGAAUACGUUCCCAGGUCUUGUACACACCGCCCGUCAAACUAGAAGAGGAGGAGGUAUUCGAAAACUCAUUCAUUUGCGUCUAGAAUAAAUCCUCUGAUUGGAGUUAAGUCG
rnacentral:rRNA from 1 species